rnacentral:rRNA from 1 species
CAGUCGCCGCGGUAAUACGAAGGGGGCUAGCGUUGUUCGGAAUUACUGGGCGUAAAGCGCGCGUAGGUGGCCAUUUAAGUCCGCUGUGAAAGUCAAAGGCUCAACCUUUGAAAGCCGGUGGAUACUGGAUGGCUAGAGUACGGAAGAGGCGAGUGGAAUUCCUGGUGUAGCGGUGGAAUGCGCAGAUAUCAGGAGGAACACCAAUAGCGAAGGCAGCUCGCUGGGACGUUACUGACACUGAGGCGCGAAAGCGUGGGGAGCGAACAGGAUUAGAUACCCGGGUAGUCCCUGUCUCUUAUAC